GGGGUGGUGGCUCAGUGGUGGAGCGCUUGCCUGGCAUGCGUGAGGACUGAGUUUGAUUCUUAGCACCCCA
rnacentral:tRNA from 1 species